AGGACAGUCACCUAGAGGCCGAGGGUGACCUGUUUAAGAUGUUAGACUUUUAUCCAGGUUGACGAUGUCAUCGCGGGUUCGAAUCCCGUCUGUCCUA